rnacentral:rRNA from 1 species
UGGGGAAUAUUGGACAAUGGGGGCAACCCUGAUCCAGCAAUGCCGCGUGUGUGAAGAAGGCCUGAGGGUUGUAAAGCACUUUCAGUGGGGAGGAGGAUUGUUAGGUUAAGAGCUAAAUGAUUGGACGUUACCCACAGAAGAAGCACCGGCUAACUCCGUGCCAGCAGCCGCGGUAAUACGGAGGGUGCGAGCGUUAAUCGGAAUUACUGGGCGUAAAGGGUGCGUAGGUGGUUGUAUAAGUUAUCUGUGAAAUCCCCGGGCUUAACCUGGGCAGGUCAGAUAAGACUGUAUGACUCGAGUAUGGGAGAGGGUAGUGGAAUUUCCGGUGUAGCGGUGAAAUGCGUAGAGAUCGGAAGGAACACCAGUGGCGAAGGCGGCUACCUGGCCUAAUACUGACACUGAGGCACGAAAGCGUGGGGAGCAAACA